rnacentral:misc_RNA from 1 species
GAUGAAGAACGCAGCGAAAUGCGAUAAGUAGUGUGAAUUGCAGAAUUCAGUGAAUCAUCGAAUCUUUGAACGCACAUUGCGCCCCUUGGUAUUCCGAGGGGCAUGCCUGUUCGAGCGUCAUUAUAACCCCUCAAGCUCAGCUUGGUGUUGGGGCCUGCUGCACUGGCAGCCCUUAAAAUCAGUGGCGGCGCCAUCUGGCUCUAAGCGUAGUAAUUCUUCUCGCUAUGGAGUCCUGGUGGAUGCUUGCCAUCAACCCCCAAUUUUUCUAUGGUUGACCUCGGAUCAGGUAGGGAUACCCGCUGAACUUAAGCAUAUCAAUAAGCGAGGA